AGAGAAGAAAUUGAUGGGAAAUUUUCCUUUUCAUUUUUCUUUGCUACCAAACAAUGAAUUACAAAAUUACAGUAAGGAAAAAAAAUGAAAAACAAAAACAAAAUAAAAAACUGUACACUUAACAAGAAUGGGGAGAAAGCAGCAGAGGGGGAGAGAUGCUAUGGAAUGAUGACCAACUCCCACACUAAAAGGGGCAGCUGUGAACUAAAAUGAAGAAACCAUCCCAG
rnacentral:lncRNA from 1 species